UAUGUGAUCGUCUCUCGCAUAUCAAUAAGCGGAGGAAAAGAAACUAACAAGGAUUCCCCUAGUAACGGCGAGUGAAGCGGGAAGAGCUCAAAUUUGAAAUCUUAAAGGGUUUCCCUUUACGAAUUGUAGUUUAAAGAAGUGUUUUCUGUUGAGGUUUUGGUAAAAGUUCUUUGGAAUAGGACAUCAUAGAGGGUGAGAAUCCCGUAUUUGACCUUUACUUUCAACUUUGUGAUACACUUUCAAAGAGUCGGAUUGUUUGGGAAUGCAGUCCAAAAUGGGUGGUAAAUUUCAUCUAAAGCCUAAAUAUUGGCGAGAGACCGAUAGCGAACAAGUACCGUGAGGGAAAGAUGAAAAGAACUUUGAAAAGAGAGUUAAACAGUACGUGAAAUUGUCAAAAGGGAAGCGUUUGACACCAGUGUUGUUUUUCUGAAAAUCAAUUAAAGAACUGUUUAUGCUAAGUUGUUUAGACUUUAUCAGCUAACUGUUUAGUUUUGAGCUUUUCUUUAAUGCACUUUUCAGUUAACAAGUCAACAUCAAUUUCUUUUGCUGUAAAAAAGCUUGAGGAAGGUGGCUUGAGAUUCGUCUUAAGUGUUUAUAGCCUCUUGCCUAUGCAGUCGGAGAGAUUGAGGUCUGCAGCGUAGAUCCUUCGGGGCUAAAUGCAUUUGUGCUAAGUUAUAACAUUUUAUAGACAACUUGUUGACUAUGAUUUGUCUUGUAGCUUACUCGCUUAUGUUAUUUUACCUACGCUUAGGAUGUUGACACACGCGCGUGCUCG
rnacentral:rRNA from 1 species